rnacentral:rRNA from 1 species
UGGGGAAUUUUGGACAAUGGGCGCAAGCCUGAUCCAGCCAUGCCGCGUGCAGGAUGAAGGCCUUCGGGUUGUAAACUGCUUUUGUACGGAACGAAACGGCCUUUUCUAAUAAAGAGGGCUAAUGACGGUACCGUAAGAAUAAGCACCGGCUAACUACGUGCCAGCAGCCGCGGUAAUACGUAGGGUGCAAGCGUUAAUCGGAAUUACUGGGCGUAAAGCGUGCGCAGGCGGUUAUGUAAGACAGGUGUGAAAUCCCCGGGCUCAACCUGGGAACUGCAUCUGUGACUGCAUAGCUAGAGUACGGUAGAGGGGGAUGGAAUUCCGCGUGUAGCAGUGAAAUGCGUAGAUAUGCGGAGGAACACCGAUGGCGAAGGCAAUCCCCUGGACCUGUACUGACGCUCAUGCACGAAAGCGUGGGGAGCAAACA